GAUGAAGAACGUAGCGAAAUGCGAUAAGUAAUGUGAAUUGCAGAAUUCAGUGAAUCAUCGAGUCUUUGAACGCACAUUGCGCCCCCUGGUAUUCCGGGGGGCAUGUCUGUCCGAGCGUCAUUGCUGCCCUCAAGCACGGCUUGUGUGUUGGGCCCCGCCCCCCGGCUCCCGGGGGGCGGGCCCGAAAGGCAGCGGCGGCACCGCGUCCGGUCCUCGAGCGUAUGGGGCUUCGUCACCCGCUCCGUAGGCCCGGCCGGCGCCCGCCGGCGACCCCCCUCAAUCUUUUCAGGUUGACCUCGGAUCAGGUAGGGAUACCCGCUGAACUUAAGCAUAUCAAUAAGCGGAGGA
rnacentral:misc_RNA from 1 species